rnacentral:rRNA from 1 species
GAUGAACGCUAGCUACAGGCUUAACACAUGCAAGUCGAGGGGAAACGGCAUUUAGUGCUUGCACCGAAUGGACGUCGACCGGCGCACGGGUGAGUAACGCGUAUCCAACCUACCCAUUACUGUGGGAUAACCUGCCGAAAGGCAGACUAAUACCGCAUAGUCUUCGAUGACGGCAUCAGAUUUGAAGUAAAGAUUUAUCGGUAAUGGAUGGGGAUGCGUCUGAUUAGCUUGUUGGCGGGGUAACGGCCCACCAAGGCAACGAUCAGUAGGGGUUCUGAGAGGAAGGUCCCCCACAUUGGAACUGAGACACGGUCCAAACUCCUACGGGAGGCAGCAGUGAGGAAUAUUGGUCAAUGGGCGUGAGCCUGAACCAGCCAAGUAGCGUGCAGGAUGACGGCCCUAUGGGUUGUAAACUGCUUUUGUAUGGGGAUAAAGUCAAUCACGUGUGAUUGUUUGCAGGUACCAUACGAAUAAGGACCGGCUAAUUCCGUGCCAGCAGCCGCGGUAAUACGGAAGGUCCGGGCGUUAUCCGGAUUUAUUGGGUUUAAAGGGAGCGUAGGCCGGAGAUUAAGUGUGUUGUGAAAUGUAGACGCUCAACGUCUGACUUGCAGCGCAUACUGGUUUCCUUGAGUACGCACAACGUUGGCGGAAUUCGUCGUGUAGCGGUGAAAUGCUUAGAUAUGACGAAGAACUCCGAUUGCGAAGGCAGCUGACGGGAGCGCAACUGACGCUUAAGCUCGAAGGUGCGGGUAUCGAACAGG